rnacentral:rRNA from 1 species
UCGGGAAUUUUGCGCAAUGGGCGAAAGCCUGACGCAGCAACGCCGCGUGAGGGACGAAGGCCUUCGGGUCGUAAACCUCUUUUCUCAGGGAAGAUGAUGACGGUACCUGAGGAAGAAGCCACGGCUAACUACGUGCCAGCAGCCGCGGUAAUACGUAGGUGGCGAGCGUUGUCCGGAUUUACUGGGCGUAAAGAGCGCGCAGGCGGUUGGUCAAGUCGAAUGUGAAAGCCCCCGGCUCAACUGGGGAGGGUCAUUCGAUACUGGUCGACUCGAAGGCAGGAGAGGGACGUGGAAUUCCCGGUGUAGUGGUGAAAUGCGUAGAUAUCGGGAGGAACACCAGUGGCGAAGGCGGCGUCCUGGCCUGUUCUUGACGCUGAGGCGCGAAAGCCAGGGGAGCGAACGG